UGACACUUCCUAAACAGUUGGGAGGCAGUCACCUGCCAGCAAGCAUGAAACACUUAUUUGCUUUGAUGUUGAUCUUCAUCAGUCCUUCAUGUGUCUUUUCUCAAGUCAAACUGGUGGAAUCUGGCCCAGGAACAGCCAAGCCUGGAGGGUCUAUCAAGCUGACCUGCACUGUCACCGGAUACUCCAUCUCCGAUGGCUACUACUGGCACUGGAUAAGACAGCCUCCUGGCAAAGGCCUAGAAUGGUUAACAGCUAUACAUUAUGGAGGGACCACUUACUAUGCACCCUCCCUCCAAAGCAGGGUUUCCAUCUCCAAAGACGAUGGCAGGAAUGAAUUCUACUUGCAAAUGUCCUCCCUGAGUAUUGCAGACACAGCCACAUAUUUUUGUGCAAGAGACACAGUGGGAGAACUGAACUGA